rnacentral:rRNA from 1 species
GUGGGGAAUUUUGCGCAAUGGGGGAAACCCUGACGCAGCAACGCCGCGUGAGUGAUGAAGGCCUUCGGGUUGUAAAGCUCUUUUAGUGGGGAAGAAGCCCUUCAGGACUAAUACUCCUGAGGUCUGACGGUACCCACAGAAAAAGUUCCGGCUAACUACGUGCCAGCAGCCGCGGUAAUACGUAGGGAGCAAGCGUUGUUCGGAAUCAUUGGGCGUAAAGAGCGCGUAGGCGGUUUAGUAAGUCCGAUGUGAAAUCCCAGAGCUUAACUCUGGAACUGCAUUGGAAACUGCUAGGCUUGAGUGCGGGAGAGGUGAGUGGAAUUCCCAGUGUAGAGGUGAAAUUCGUAGAUAUUGGGAGGAACACCGGUGGCGAAGGCGGCUCACUGGACCGCAACUGACGCUGAGGCGCGAAAGCUAGGGGAGCAAACGGGAUUAGAAACCCUAGUAGUCC